rnacentral:rRNA from 1 species
GACGAACGCUGGCGGCGUGCUUAACACAUGCAAGUCGAACGGAAAGGCCCUGCUUGCCGGGUGCUCGCGUGGCGAACGGGUGAGUAACACGUGGGUGAUCUGCCCCUUACUUUGGGAUAAGCCUGUUCAACUGGGUCUAAUACUGGCUAGGGCCAUUCUGUAGGUGCUGUGGUGGAAAGAUUAGUUUCGUUUGGGGAUGAGCUCGCGGCCUAUCCGCUUGUUGGUGGGGUAAUGGCCUACUAAGGCGUCGACGGGUAGCCGGCCUGAGAGGGUGGGAGGCAAGAUUGGGACUGAGAUGGGGCGCAGACGCAGGCGGGAGGCAGCAGUGGGGAAAAGUGUAAAAUGGGAGCAAGGCGGAAGCAGCGAAGGUGCGUGGGUGAUGACGGCCUGCGGGUAGUAAAGACCAAACAGGCAUGACGAAGCCCUUGUGGUGACGGUAGUGGUAGAAGAAGCACCGGCUAACUACGUG